AACCUUUGCUGUCUUGGGACGGAUCACCGCUGCAAGAGGGGAAGUUGCUACUGUGAUGAAUUCUGCCAUGUGGCACCAGACUGCCACCCAGACCACAGUGUCCUCUGCAACCCUGGUAACUCACAUACAGGCCCGAUUCCACCUACAGCAAAGCUGGAUGCGAUGGCUGGCAGAGGCAAACCCUUUGCCUGCACUUCAGGCCAAAGCCGGGAUGUGGCCUAGAUGGUUCCUAAGGUCCCUGACAAUCCUGAGAUCUUGCAUCUUGUCUAUUUCAGGUCAAAGCUUCUCAGAUGACCAAGAUGGUGCUGCAGAUGGUGCUGAGGAUGGAGAACCCACCAAGCCCCGCUAGGAGCCACCUAGACUGGAUGCAGAGCAUGGCCCCAGCACCCGCAGAGCAGACACUGCGAUGACAACGGACGACACAGAAGUGCCCGCUAUGACUCUAGCACCGGGCCACGCCGCUCUGGAAACUCAAACGCUGAGCGCUGAGACCUCUUCUAGGGCCUCAACCCCAGCCGGCCCCAUUCCAGAAGCAGAGACCAGGGGAGCCAAGAGAAUUUCCCCUGCAAGAGAGACCAGGAGUUUCACAAAAACAUCUCCCAACUUCAUGGUGCUGAUCGCCACCUCCGUGGAGACAUCAGCCGCCAGUGGCAGCCCCGAGGGAGCUGGAAUGACCACAGUUCAGACCAUCACAGGCAGUGAUCCCGAGGAAGCCAUCUUUGACACCC
ensembl:lncRNA MUC20-OT1 MUC20 overlapping transcript